CCCAUUAUUCUGUCAUACAUCAACCCAUCUGUCAGCCUGCAACAGAUGGUUAAAAUGAAGAAGUUCUAAAAUACCAAGGAGGAAAUUACCGUGCACUUCACCAGCCAUAGCUUAAAUCCACUCUGACUUCAGAAAUUCCUUUGCCAUUUCCCUCCUCAUCAUACCAAGUGAAAAUCAAAGAUUCUGUAUCUGCUGCAAGCAAGAUUUGAGCAGAUGCCUAAGGACAGAAGGAAGACCGACAUGAAAAAGCAACAACAUGUGGGGAGCAGCUUGGCUGGAUGCUACACGGGGAGCCUCCCGAAGCUCCUCCUCCCAUGCCUCCCCUCCAGCCUUCCUUGGGGACAGUGUACGGUGGUGGCUGCCAGCCCAGGCCCUGGAUCGGACAGUUCUGGCUUCACUUCUGGCUCAGCCAUUCACCAUCCAUGCUACUUACCUUGGGCCUCACUUGGAAUGGGAAUAAACACACUUAGC